rnacentral:tRNA from 1 species
GACAAGUGGCCAAGCCUAUGUAUGGCUUCUAACCGCACAAAAAGAGGUGCAACUCCUUUUACUGUCU